rnacentral:rRNA from 1 species
AUUGAACGCUGGCGGCAUGCCUUACACAUGCAAGUCGAACGGCAGCGGACCUUCGGGUGCCGGCGAGUGGCGAACGGGUGAGUAAUAUAUCGGAACGUACCUUUCAGUGGGGGAUAACGUAGCGAAAGUUACGCUAAUACCGCAUAUUCUGUGAGCAGGAAAGCAGGGGAUCGCAAGACCUUGCGCUGAUUGAGCGGCCGAUAUCAGAUUAGCUAGUUGGUGAGGUAAAGGCUCACCAAGGCGACGAUCUGUAGCGGGUCUGAGAGGAUGAUCCGCCACACUGGAACUGAGACACGGUCCAGACUCCUACGGGAGGCAGCAGUGGGGAA